rnacentral:rRNA from 1 species
AAUGAACGUUGGCGGCAUGGAUUAGGCAUGCGAGUCGAGCGAGAACCGUAGCAAUACGGGGACAGCGGCGAAAGGGAGAGUAAUGUGUGGAUAUCUACCUCCAGGCCUGGGACAACUGCGGGAAACUGUAGCUAAUACCAGAUAAUGUCUGCGGACCAAAGGUGUGAUUCCUCCGGGAGAUGAGUCCACAUCCUAUUAGCUAGUUGGUAGGGUAAUGGCCUACCAAGGCAAUGAUGGGUAGCAGGUGUGAGAGCACGACCUGCCUCAUUGGGACUGAGACACUGCCCAGACACCUACGGGUGGCUGCAGUCGAGAAUCUUCGGCAAUGGGCGCAAGCCUGACCGAGCGAUGCCGCGUGCGGGAUGAAGGCCUUCGGGUUGUAAACCGCUGUCAGAGGGGAUGAAAUACGUCGGGGGUUCUCCCCCGGGUUUGACAUAUCCUCAGAGGAAGGACGGGCUAAGUUCGUGCCAGCCGCCGCCGUAA